rnacentral:misc_RNA from 1 species
GAUGAAGAACGCAGCGAAAUGCGAUAAGUAAUGUGAAUUGCAGAAUUCAGUGAAUCAUCGAAUCUUUGAACGCACAUUGCGCCCCUUGGUAUUCCGGGGGGCAUGCCUGUUCGAGCGUCAUUAUCACCCCUCAAGCUCAGCUUGGUGUUGGGCGCCUGUCUCCCCCUGGGGAGACUCGCCUCAAAUGCAUUGGCAGCCGGUACGUUGGCUUCGAGCGCAGCAGAAAAGCGCCUGGCGUCUGACGGUAGCGGCUCUCCAGCAAGCCACCCCCACAUUUUGACCUCGGAUCAGGUAGGGAUACCCGCUGAACUUAAGCAUAUCAAUAAGCGGAGGA